rnacentral:rRNA from 1 species
AGAGUUUGAUUAUGGCUCAGGAUGAACGCUAGCUACAGGCUUAACACAUGCAAGUCGAGGGGCAGCAUGGGAGUUGCUUGCAAUUCCUGAUGGCGACCGGCGCACGGGUGAGUAACGCGUAUCCAACCUUCCCCUUAGUAGGGCAUAGCCCGGUGAAAAUCGGAUUAAUACCCUAUGUUCUUCACAGCAGACAUCUAACGUGAAGCAAAGGUUCACCGCUAAGGGAUGGGGAUGCGUCUGAUUAGGUAGUAGGCGGGGUAACGGCCCACCUAGCCUUCGAUCAGUAGGGGUUCUGAGAGGAAGGUCCCCCACAUUGGAACUGAGACACGGUCCAAACUCCUACGGGAGGCAGCAGUGAGGAAUAUUGGUCAAUGGGCGAGAGCCUGAACCAGCCAAGUAGCGUGCAGGAUGACGGCCCUAUGGGUUGUAAACUGCUUUUAUAUGGGGAUAAAGUUCACCACGUGUGGUGUUUUGCAGGUACCAUAUGAAUAAGGACCGGCUAAUUCCGUGCCAGCCGCCGC